AUACGUAUGUCGCAAGCGUUAUCCGGAUUUAUUGGGCGUAAAGCGCGUCUAGGCGGCUUAGUAAGUCUGAUGUGAAAAUGCGGGGCUCGACCCCGUAUUGCGUUGGAAACUGCUAAACUAGAGUACUGGAGAGGUAGGCGGAACUACAAGUGUAGAGGUGAAAUUCGUAGAUAUUUGUAGGAAUGCCGAUGGGGAAGCCAGCCUACUGGAAAGAUACUGACGCUAAAGCGCGAAAGCGUGGGUAGCAAACAGGAUUAGAUACCCUGGUAGUCCACGCCGUAAACGAUGAUUACUAGGUGUUGGGGGUCGAACCUCAGCGCCCAAGCUAACGCGAUAAGUAAUCCGCCUGGGGAGUACGUACGCAAGUAUGAAACUCAAAUGAAUUGACGGGG
rnacentral:rRNA from 1 species